rnacentral:rRNA from 1 species
UACAGAGGUGGCAAGCGUUGUUCGGAUUUAUUGGGUGUAAAGGGCAGGUAGGCGGUCAAGUAAGUCUGUUGUGAAAUCCCGGGGCUCAACCCCGGAACUGCAACGGAAACUGCUUGGCUGGAGCAAUGUAGGGGUGAGGGGAAUUCUCGGUGUAAGGGUGAAAUCUGUAGAUAUCGAGAGGAACACCAAUGGCGAAGGCACCUCACUGGACCGGUUCUGACGCUGAUGCGCGAAAGCGUGGGGAGCAAACGGG